UUUCGUAUGGUGGGUACGCGAGAUAACGUUGCCACCGGCAACGACCCGAAGGGCGAAGCGCGCAGCGCUGAGUAAUCCUUCCCCCACCACCA
rnacentral:sRNA from 1 species